UAUCGGAUUGAUACUAAGCCAUGCGAGUCAUUGCAGUAAUGCAAGGCAGACGGCUCAGUAACGCGUAGUCAACCUACCCUAUGGACGGGAAUAACCUCGGGAAACUGAGUAUAAUGCCCGAUAGAACACUAUUCCUGGAAUGGUUUGUGUUCCAAAUGAUUUAUCGCCGUAGGAUGGGACUGCGGCCUAUCAGUUUGUUGGUGAGGUAAUGGCCCACCAAGACUAUUACAGGUACGGGCUCUGAGAGGAGUAGCCCGGAGAUGGGUACUGAGACACGGACCCAGGCCCUAUGGGGCGCAGCAGGCGAGAAAACUUUGCAAUGUGCGAAAGCACGACAAGGUUAAUCCGAGUGGUUUGUGCUAAACGAACCUUUUGACAGUCCUAGAAACACUGUUGAAUAAGGGGUGGGCAAGUUCUGGUGUCAGCCGCCGCGGUAAAACCAGCACCUCAAGUGGUCAGGAUGAUUAUUGGGCCUAAAGCAUCCGUAGCCGGCUCUGUAAGUUUUCGGUUAAAUCUGUACGCUCAACGUACAGGCUGCCGGGAAUACUGCAGAGCUAGGGAGUGGGAGAGGUAGACGGUACUCGGUAGGAAGGGGUAAAAUCCUUUGAUCUAUUGAUGACCACCUGUGGCGAAGGCGGUCUACCAGAACACGUCCGACGGUGAGGGAUGAAAGCUGGGGGAGCAAACCGGAUUAGAUGCCCGGGUAGUCCCAGCUGUAAACUAUGCAAACUCAGUGAUGCAUUGGCUUGUGGCCAAUGCAGUGCUGCAGGGAAGCCGUUAAGUUUGCCGCCUGGGAAGUACGUACGCAAGUAUGAAACUUAAAGGAAUUGGCGGGGGAGCACCACAAGGGGUGAAGCCUGCGGUUCAAUUGGAUUC
rnacentral:rRNA from 1 species